rnacentral:rRNA from 1 species
AUCACUUAUAUACCUGGUAUUGGCCAUAAUUUACAAGAACAUUCUGUAGUAUUAGUAAGAGGUGGAAGGGUUAAGGAUUUACCCGGUGUGAGAUAUCGCAUUAUUCGAGGAAACCUAGAUGUUGUCACAGUAAAGAAUCGUCAACAAGGGCGUUCUAGUGCGUUGUAG